AUACAUAUAUAUAUAUAUAUGUUAUGAAUUAAAUUUAAUAUAUUGUGUACUAAAAUUUAGAAAGUUAAAUAAUAUUUAUUUUUGUAAUAAAAUGUUAUUAUUAAAAAAUUUAAUUAUUUUAAAAUUUUAUUUUAUUUACGGAUCAAAUCGGAUAUUCUUUAAAAUUCUAAAACAUUUCGGAUAUCCGAGUCACCGAAUAUCUAGGUGGCUAAAGAUCGAAUCGACACGAAUGCUUCCAAAUACUAACAUAUUCGAUCUGGCCCCACCCCUAUUUACGGAUACAACUUUAUUUUCUCUAUAUGAAAAAUGACUAAUGUCAAAGCCUUUUUUUAUUUUAAAUUAAAUUAAAUUUUAUCUUUCAUGUAUUAUUUUGAACAAAAAUGUCAUUUCAUAUUAAUUAACAAAAUCUUUAUAUAUUUGUCAACUAUUUUUAUAUACUUUUUACAUAUACAUACAACAACUGAAAUAUCUAAUUUUUUUUAAAGUUGAAAUAUUUUUUCUUAUUACUUCUUUCACUACCGAUCAAAUUGUAGUAAAAUGAUUUGUCUUAAUAAUUUUUUUUUUAAAAAAUAUUAUCUGUUUAGAAACUAUAAUAUGAAACUAUUGGUUCGACAUGACAACUAUCUAAAAUUCAUAACAUGAAAAUAAACAAAUAAUAUUAAUUUUUGAUUUUUACCGGAAAAAAACCAAAAAAUUAAACAUUUUAACCGAAUAAACUAAAAUGAAUACUCCCUCCGUUUCUCAAUAAGUAUCGUUGGAGAGAAUUUUUUUCGUUACAAAAUAAGUGUCGUUUUCGAUUUUCAAUUCAAAAUUUAUUAGUUUUAUUCAGUAAUUUAUUUUUCUAUUAGUUGAAAUAUGGUUAAGUAUAUUGGUAAUUGUGUUUUUAUAUAGGAAAUCUACAAAAUUAAUUGUUUCCUUAAUCCGUGUGCACAGACCCAAAAUGACACUUAAUAUAAAAAAGAGGGAGUAUUAAUUUAAAAUAAUAGUUAUAUAUUAGAAGAUUAAAAACCAAAAAAAAAACUUAAAACCGAACCAAUUUCCAGAUUAAACAGAUUUAAUGUCUAUUUAUUAAAAAUAACAAAACUAAUAAUCAAAUUCUCUGUUGCGCGGGUUAUUACCUAGUUAACUGCUAAAUGACUGUGAGACUGAUACGUAAACAUUUUAAAAUUGAAAUAAUUAUGAAAUUGACAUGUGUUAAUAUGUGUGUAAACACAUCUAUUGCAAAUUUUUCUCUUUUAAUAUAUAGAAGAUUGAGAAAUAAAAUUUCCAGUAAACAUAUUUUAAAAUUAUAUUGUGGAGGUAUUGACAUAGUAAGAAAUCAUGCUUUCUGAUAUAUAUUCAUAGUUAAAUAUAUUAUACUUGUUUUAGUAUAUAAGCUUUGGAUAUUAUACCCUAUGUGAAUUUCAAAAAGAAAAAAAAUCAUUUCCACUUUUAAAUAGUUGAAUUUUAGGAGAUAUAUAAAAUACCAUUAUAUAUAUAAACACAAACAUAGAACACAAUUUUUUAUAGAAAAUAAAAUCAAAUCAAAUAAGAAAUUCUCCUAUUAUCUCAAAUUGACAAAAUCUUAAUUUUUGUUGUUCUGAUAUUGAUCAUGGCCAAGUUAUCGUGUUCGUUUAUCUUCUUAUUCAUGUUUGUGUUUUCAGUAUUUGCUGUGGCUCAGGAAACUAAGCGAUAUCAAUUAUGUACUAUUGUCAUCGAAGAACAAAAUUAUUGCGAGAUUGCGGACUGUGGUAUAGAAUGUCGUAUAGAGUACAAUGGAGUUGGAAAAUGUCUUACAAAUUCCAAAGCUGGUGGAAGACUUAGUUGUUUUUGUACUUAUAAUUGCUAGAGAAGAAAAAAUUUAAAUAAAGAUAUUGUAUAAUUACAUAACUUUUUAAUCCAUAUGAAUAAAAAAUGAGAAUUUCUUCAAGCUUUCUAAUGAUGGCAUAGUAAAUUUUGGAACAAGAAAAUUCAGAAUAUUUCUAACACGUUGUUAUCAUUUGGACAAUGCCACAACGAGUACCGAUAGAAAUUGUUUUCUGAUUAUAGAAAUAACACAUAAUUGAUGGUCUUGGACUCUUGAUUUUUAAAGAUGUUGAUGGUAUUUAAUAUGUUACUAUCAACAUAUAAAUUAAAAGAAAGACUACGGUUUAUUAUAAACAAUGGAUAUGAACGGUAACCAAGGAAUGACGAAAAAUAAUUAAUGCCCUAACAUUCCUUAAAAAAAUCACUAUUCAUAAAGAAUAAUUUUUCAUUCUCAUUUCCUACCAUUCAUUUUUUUUGUAGAAAAUAAAUAACAAAGUUAUUCCUUGUUAAAUAUGAGAUGAAAAACCAUUCAUUUUCAUUCGUGCAAUUGUAUUCCUCAAUGUUCUUUUUCUAUUUGUUUCUCUUAUUUUCAGAAUGGUCACCAGUCGGACCCAAUACUUAGCUGAUAAAAAUCUGCAAGUGAAUUUAAAGUCAGUUACAAAAAAAGGUGAAUUUAAAGUCUCAACAACUAUCUCAUAUAUAUUAAAAGAUAAGCAUUACAACAUUUUAGCUAUUACACGCGUCUUCACUAGAAUGCUUCUCAAAGGGGUUGAUUGGCAAGUGCUGUGAGAUCUUUCUAUGUCUAAAUUAUGUUUACAGCCUAAAUUAUGUCUACAGUCACAACUUUUAUCAAUCAUGCUUUGAAAAGAUUUUUUAAAGCUAUAGAUUUUUUUUCUUUUUUAUUUAUUUUUAUCUGUGGAAAGCCAUAAAUCUAGAGCACUUAUUUUUUUGCUUUAGAAAAAUUAUAUGUAAAUCAUUGAAUCUUUUUAAAACAAUAGCUAAUUUUAUACAGCAAAAUUAUCUACAGCCACAGCAAAAAAAAUCUAUAGUUUUAUUUCUAAAGCAAAAAUAUAAAACUACAGCUCCUUCCAAUCAUCAACAUAAUAAUAAGGCUAAUUCUCUCCAGCAGGUUGACACAUCAACUUUUUUAAAUCGCAUGAGAGCGACAUGUCAUUAACUGAAAAAUAUUGAAAGACCAAUGAAAACAUUUUAUUAAUACAUCUCAGUUCAAUUGAUAUUAAUCGCUGGCAAAAUCAUCCCCAAAAACGUGAUCUUUUCUUACCUUCUCAAAUUCCUAGAGCGACUCUUCCUAUCUUUCACAUUAGUUAAAUUCAAGAAAUUGACUGUCAUUCUUCCUCUCUUCUUCACAUUAAUUUGUGAUUUAUAAGGCAAAGCUUUAGCCUUCAGGUGCUUUCAACAAAUCAACAGAUAUAAAUAUAUAAUAAGAUUGAUACAUCGGAUGGGGGUGAAAAGUAGGCUCAAUCCAAUCAAUUGCGUCUGCGGGAUCAGGUGGGAAGCUAAGCCAUGUUGUGUUUACGGUAAGAAGCUUUUUUUUGUUGGUGUCAAUGGUUCUGCUUCUCAUCUUUAUUCUUGAACCUUGAGUUUAAUUAAUGUAUCUUUCUGAGGAAUCUUACAAGUCUGCUCUCCUUUUAUCAGUUCAAUUCUGAUUUGUUAUCUUGCUUUCUGAUUAUAUUUUAGAUGGAAUCACAAAAGGUGGAAUCCAGAAGGUGAUAAGGCUGGAUUGUUCAGAAAGAUAAAUUACACCAACGGUAGUUUUGUGUAGGCUGAUACACGGAAUCAGAAAGAUGCAUAGAGUUGCUUGAGCUAAUACAAUUGGAUGGUAAAAUUUUGGGGUCAAUAUUAAAAGAGGAAACUGCAAACAUAUGCUAGCUAAAGGAUUAUGUUCUUCUAGGAUGUACAAAGACGCUUCACGUAUUCAGUUUCGUGAUUUUGAUAGGGACAAGGGGUUAAGGAAUUCAAGCUUCUAUAGUUAUAAUCUCAAUUAAACUUACGUUUUCGACGGUUACUAUUCAGGAAGAUAUGGAUCACAUUGGUAUGUUGUAAUACAAGGUAGAUUUUUAGAUGAAAUUAGAGAACAUCAAUCAAAUCAAAUGAUAAUAUUAUGUUAGCAAAUCAGUUCAGUUUGUGAGUAUGUUGUAUUUCCCUCCCAAUUUGAAAUUGAAUCAUGAUCUUUCUUCAGAACAAAAGAGAAGUGACAAGAGGUGAAACAGAUUGUAUAUGUAUCUAGCAAUAAUAAGAUAUCAUUUAUUGAUUUUUUUCUGUAUCUCUUUAUCCAAAGUUUGGUUCGAUCAAAUAGUAUUAAUGAACAUGUAUUAUGCUUGCAGUGCAUAUUUUUCAAGAAAUGUCUUAAGUAAAAGCGAUCCAAAAAAUUAUAAAGGAAAGUUUGCAAGAGACUGAUAGAAUAGAUCAAACAAGAAAAGAAGAAAAAGUUACAACAAGCACUUUACUCAUAAGGUUAAAAACUUUUGAAAAACAAAGAUAAAUAUAAUAAAUUUGAUGGAUAAGUAGAUUUCUGAAUCAUUUUAGUAUUUUAUCGUUGUGAACUACAAUUAUAAACAUGAAUCGAGAGUUAUCUAAGUCCAACGACUAUUGUCUAUAUAAAAUAUAUAAGUAAAACCAAAGUUAGGAGUGGAUUGUUUUGCUAAAUAUGCAUGGCUUCUAUAUAUUAUAUAUAUAUAUAUAUAUCAUUUUUUUAAUAAUGGUUUAUUAUUUCAUUGCUAACAAUCUAAUAUAUUAAAACAGAAGUCAUGACUUCUUUUCAUGUGUGAUUUUUUUAAUUUGGACCAUUCCCAGAAAAAAUCAUAUUUUACAUAAGUUCAUUAUUAUAUCUUUUAAUAUCUUUAUUUUUUUAUUUGAAAUACAAAUAAAUAUAUUUAAAAUGUUCUAACAAAAUAUUUUUAAAAUCUUCUUAGAAUCUUUUUAAAUUUAC